rnacentral:rRNA from 1 species
GAUGAACGCUGGCGGCGUGCCUAAUACAUGCAAGUCGAGCGAACAGACGAGGAGCUUGCUCCUCUGACGUUAGCGGCGGACGGGUGAGUAACACGUGGAUAACCUACCUAUAAGACUGGGAUAACUUCGGGAAACCGGAGCUAAUACCGGAUAACAUGCUGAACCGCAUGGUUCGACAGUGAAAGACGGUCUUUCUGUCACUUAUAGAUGGAUCCGCGCCGCAUUAGCUAGUUGGUAAGGUAACGGGUUACCACGGCAACGAGGCGUAGCCGAACUGAUAGAGUGAUAGGCCACACUGGAACUGAGACACGGACCAGACUCCUACGGGAGGCAGCAGUAGGGAAUCGGCCGCAAUGGGCGAAAGCCUGACGGAGCAACGCCGAGCGAGUGAAGAAGGUCUUCGGAUCGUAAAACUCUGUUAUUAGGGAAGAACAAAUGUGUAAGUAACUAUGCACGUCUUGACGGUACCUAAUCAGAAAGCCACGGCUAACUACGUG